UCUCAAAAAAAAGAACAAAUUUUGGACUUCCUUUCUUCAGAUCUCUAUGUCAGGGGAGAUUCUGCCUAUGUGGUCCUAAGUGUUCUAGAGCUCUUUCUUCUCUCCUGUGUAAGUGUCCAGUGUGUCCCUGCAGGCUUUUCUCUCCCUGGUUUCUGCUCUUUUUUGUGGAAGGGUAGGUGACCCUGGGGGAGAGGGAAGCCUUGCCAAAGGGUUUAGAUGCUCAAGUGCCAAUUCUGAGAGUUCUCCAUUUCCUGGGCAGUGAAUUGGGUUGUGGAUCUUCCAUGAAAAUCUCCCACUGGGACUAACUCAAGUUCAUUUUGGGAAAACAGCUCAAGCCUAGAGAAAGAAUUGAAAUCAGAAAAAGAGCAAAGACAAGCUCUUCAGCGUGAAUUACAGCACGAGAAAGACACUUCCUCUCUACUCAGAACAGAGCUACAGCAAGUGGAAGGAUUGCAAAAGGAGUUGUGGGAGCUUCAGGACAAGAAGACAGAGCUGCAGAAGAUCUGCAAG